UCUCUCUCUCUCUCUCUCUCUCUCUCUCUCUCUCUCUCUGCCCCCCCCCCUCUGUGUGUCUGUAAAAAAUAAUUAUACCAUUCUAUUUGUACUCUCCCUGUAUGCUCGUGUCCAUAUGUCAUUCGUCAUCAAGAGGCCAAAAAAGUAGGGGAAAAAAUCCAAUAACAAUCAGCGUUCCCUCGAGACGACAGACUGGUUGGGGGAAACUCCGCGCAUAACGGCUGCGGGAAGGAGAGCGCGCUUACGGUGGAUGAGGGAAGGAGGUGUUGGGGUCAACGGGCAGCAACUGAUAGAAGACGGAGUGAGGACAGGGGAAUAAUGCGAGAACAUGCGUGUUUAUCCCUGUAAUGCCACCUUGUCUGUGUUCUUAAAGAACAGCAAGGAUUUUGUGUUUGAUUUUUGGAGUUAUCCCAGUGAUCCCGAUUGUUUUAGAAUUUUUUUUUUUUAGAACCUUUCAUUAGAGUUCCUGAGUGAGCAAAUAAAAUGAUUGCACAAAUUGAGAAUUCCACAUGUCUGGAUAAAAAAGUGCCAUCACAAAAGCAGCACAACAUUAAAAAAUUAUUUUGGGAAAUUA